CAAAUUUUUAGAUAACUGAAAGUCACAUGUAAUCCCUUGCUCAUCUAAAUUAAUAUUACUAUUUUCAAUUUUCUUGAAUGCGAACACACAAUAAAGACCAAAUACUUCGUUUUCAGGUUGGGUAAUUAACCCAGAAUUCUUGGGGUUAUUUAACCAGUUAGAGAAUCUAAUAUUUGGAAAGUUUUUUUGUGUAAAUUCAGUGAAACUUGGAAAAUCUGAAUACUGGACAAGCUCUAGGCCAACUUUGCUUGCAAGGCCGCAAAAUGACUCCCAAGGCACAACAUAUUCGUAUUGAUUGAUAUGCUCAAUUAACCAGAAGUCGUACUUAAUACCCCACUCAGUUCUGAAAAGUUUGAUUCCUCUCUCCAAAUCAAUAUUGUCUGAAAAAUAUUUAUCCCAAUCAUCA
rnacentral:antisense_RNA from 1 species